GCGACGGGUCGGUGGGGCGCGUGCGCGAGCCGGCGCGGGACCCUGUGAGCCUUAGCGUCCCUCACGAGACAUUCGCGUGUGGGCCUCCCCGGCGUGCGGAGGCGCCGGGAACAUUUGGAGUGGUGGUGCCGUGUAAAAGCUCAGUUCGCCUCGAAAACCGACCGCCCACGCACGCAAAAGCAAGCAAGUCCCCUACCUACCUACCUACCGACCGACCGACCGAAGUCUGCCUGCCAGCUUUGGCCGGUGACACAGGCAAGAAUCCGAGAGUGUGUGUGUCAGUGGCUUGUCGCGAGACUGACGAAAAGAUUAUCGGGAUUGUGUGGGAUCCUACGGUGAUGGCACCCGAAGGGGGUAGCGUUUCGCGGAGCCCUCCUCCUCCUCCUUCUCUGCUCGCUGUCUAUUUUUUUUAGUAGGAAGCUCCUGUCUCUCUCUCUCUCUCUCUCGCUCGCUCUCGUGGGGAACUCUGUCUUAUACUUCGCCCUGACGUCGUAGUAGUAGAAGGAGUUCCCGGCGGCGGAUGGGUUCGCUGCUGCUGCGAGUGGUGCCGCUUGUUCGACAUUGGGCUUCUACGCUUGAUAACCCUCCUGGUGCCUUCUUCGACGGACGCGACGGAAGAGACAUUGCUGGUGGACUCUGAUGCAGCCUGGUUGAAUCAAGAUUCGUGGCAUCGCUGAAGAGUCCUGCGGACAGCUGCUGCUGCUGCCUCCUCCUCCUCCUGCAAGGGAUACCCAUGCCCUGUCCUGCUGCAACGUUUCUAGCCGGCGUGGACUAUAAGGCCGAAUGUGCAUUGGAGCGAGCAAGUCGUCACAACAGCGAAGGUCAUCGGCGUAAUAUCCAGG